rfam:Myotis brandtii contig204692, whole genome shotgun sequence.
GCCUGUGUUGCUCAGUGGUGAGAGCAUCUGCCUGCAGACGGAAGGGUCAUGGGUUCGAUUCCCAGUCCAGGGCA